ACCUGUCAUUAGCAUGUGACAUCCACCAGUUGGCAAUGGGAAGUGGCUCUCAAUGCAAAUAUGUAUACUUUUUCCAGUGACGAAAAGUCACUGAUUUUGAAAAAGUGGAAACAAGCAAUAAUAAAUCUCUGAGCGAGGUAUAAACAGUAGCAGCAAGACAUUGUGAUGGGGCACAGAUAGUGUGUCAAUAGCCACUGGAGGAGAUUUCAUCCUGGGGCUACAAGCUACAGUAGAAUCGACCCUUAAGGGUUAGCCACAUUUAGGAUUGUAGAUCUGUUUGUCAACAACAUGCUACCGCUGCAUGUAGUGGAGUCUCCCACCUUGGUUGGCCUGAUCAAGAUGCUAAACCUCAUUAAAACAUUGAUGUCCCACCACACUCUGGGCAGGAUGAUCUUUGCCAGCCAUUAACAGCUGGAGGUGUAUCUUACAAGGUAUUUAUAAAUCAAAAUUAUGCAAGAUUAUUAAAUUAUCAUUAUGGCGUACUUCAUAUUUUCUUAAUUUAAUUUAAUUAUUUAUCAAAUAAUUAUUUUCUUAAUGUAAUAAAAUGUAUAAUAGCUAAUUGAAAUAAAUGUCAUAAUAUACAAUAUAUGGAAUAUAUAUAUAUAUGUAUAUAACCCAUGCUAGCAUGGAAAACGGACGAUAAAUGAUGGUGAUGAUAUAUAUAUUCCACUCAUGAUUAAGUCUGCACAGCCAUUACAGCAGUUUUUAAUCAAAUGACAAAUAAACGAACCUUAAGUUCUAAACUUAUCAAAUUCCGACCAUCAUUCCUCCCUCAUCUUGGUUAUUCAUCAUACCCAACGCAUCACCUAUCAAGGUAGUGUCACUAUUUUCAAAAGUUUAAUAACAAGGCUUUAAAUGAUAAGCAUCAGAUGAAAGUGAAACAUUAGAAGCAAACCAAAAUAUUACCUAAAAAUGACCUCAAAAUUGUGUGACGUGAUCUCGUUUUCAAGGUUAUUUUAGUAGAAAAAAAGAGUUGUAGCAAAAACAUAGUUUAUUUGACAGUCUUUAUAUAUAGAUAGAUGAUAAGCAGCUUUCUUUAUUAUAGUACAGAUGUGACUAAUUCAGAGAAACAUUACUUUCAUUAUUCACACAUCAUCACUCUUGUAAUGCAACACUUUGUAAUUUUUGUUCAAACUGUAAGUGUGACACUAUUUUCACUUUCUAAUGAAACCUGGUCAUUGUAGAGCAGAGACUUUCAAGUAACUAAAGCUGAUUGUCGAGAUAACAUUGAAAAUAUGUAAAAGAAGAUAAAGUUUAUUAGGUAGCCAAAAGAUUACUGAAUCUUUUGAUACCCCAUACGUCAAAAUUCGCAACUCAGUAUUUGAAUGCAUAAGGAACAUAUGUGCACGCAUGCACACACAAACUCUCUUUUAUAUAUAUAGAUAUACAAGUUCUGUGCCAAGAUGGAUGUCCAGAAGGGAUCCUGAGUUCACCAAGGAUAUAUAAAUUUUUCCCAUACUGAAUGUUGAAAAGUGCUUUUCCAAAUAAAUUUAAAUAUUCCUAUUGAUUGUCCAUUAUCAUCAUCAUCAUUUAACAUUCACUUUUCCAUAUUCACAUGGGUCAGAUGGAAUUUGUUGAGGUAGAUUUUCGAUAACUGGAUGCCAUUCCUGUCAUCACCCCUUAUCUGUUUCCAAGUAAGGUAAUAUUUCCCCAUGGCUGGACAUAAUUUCAUGGAAGACUGGAAACAGAAAAACUUGCUUGUAUGAUGUUGAUUUACAACUAUCAUGUGAUAUCUAGACAAAAUUACACACACACACAUGCACGUGCACACACACACAUACAUAUAUGUACAGAGUGUGUAAGAUAUUUGAGGACAGAUCUAAUGUUUAGAAAAAAAACCAUAUAUAACUAGCAGAGAUACCCAGCAUUGCUCAGGGUUAAAAUAGCAUAGUCUUUUAUUGUUUUAUUUGUUUCGGUCAUGUGACUGCGUCCAUGCUGGAGCACUGCUUUUAGUUGAAGAAAUUGAACCCAGGAUUUAUCGGUAUGUUUUGCCGAAUAGCUAAGUUACAGGAUGUAAACACAGCAACAUUGGUUGUCAAGGAUUGGUGGGUGUAUAAAGAGACACACACACUCACAUACACACACAUAUAUAUACAUAUACAUACAUAAAUAUAUAUACACACAGAUAUAUAUAUAUAUAUAUACACACACACAUAUAUAUAUACAUAUAUAUAUGUAUGUAUGUAUGUAUGUCUCUAUUGUACUGUUUUGUUCCCAACUUUGACCCUCCAUAAAUACAAAAUUUUAUUUUGGAAUUUAUGGGAGCAACUGUCUUCAAAGACUCAUAUUGUUGUUGAAUGCUUGAAAUGAGGUGUAGAUAGACAGAAGACAACUGACAUAGACUUGCCCAAAUGCUUCAAUAAAUUAACAUUGAUAUUUUUUUCACCGUUGUUACAAUCAUCUGAAAUAGAACUGUCAAAGUGCAAUAUUUGAGCAAUUUUGCUAUUCAACUUCAAAAAAAGGAUAUAAAGCAACUGAAACUGCUCACAAUAUCAAUGAAAUGUUUGGUGAGGAAAUGACCAAUGAGUGGUCAGUUUGAAAAUGGUUUAAACAAUUUUGCAGUGAAGACCUGAGCCUUGAAGAUCAUGUGUGUAGUGGGCACCCAUUUGUCAUCAAUGACAGUCAGUUAAAGACCAUCAUUGAGAAAGAUCCACGUAAAACCACUCGAGAAGUGGCAAAAGAACUUAGCCAGAAAACUGCUUGCAACCAUUUGCAUUAUUAUCAUCAACAUCAUUGUUUAACAUUUGCCUUCCAUGCUAGCAUGGGUGGGAUGGUUUCACAAGGGCCAGCCAGACAGAAGCCUGCACCAGGCUUCUGUGACAUGAUUGGGAAAUCAAAAAAGUUCAACAAAUGGAUACCACACAAUUUGAAUGAAAAUCAGAAAAUGUGCAGAUAUGAAAUUUGCUCGUCGCUUCUUCUCUGUAACCAGACUGAUCCAUUUCUUGACCAUAUUGUAACUUGUGAUGAAAAGUGGAUUCUAUACAAUAAUAGAAAACAUUCUUCAUGGUGGUUGGAUCAAAAUGAAGCACUGAAAACCUGUAAACCCAAGCUCUUCAAAAAGAAGGUUAGGGUGACAGUUUGGUGGUGUACUGCUGGACUCAUCCACUAUAACUUCUUAAAACCCAGAAAAACCAUUACUGUAGAAACAUAUUGCCAUGAAAUUGCUAAAUGAAUGAAAAUCUGCUAUUCCUCCAUCCUAGACUGGUAAACAGAAGAGGGCCAGUCAUUCUUCAUGACAAUUCUCAACCACACAUUUCACUAAUGGCACUCCAGAAGUUCAAGGAACCUAGCUAUGAAGUUCUUCCCUGCCCAGUUUAUUCCUCAGACCUUUCUCCUAUCGACUACCACUUUUUCAAGCACGUUGAUGAUUUCCUGUGAGAGAAGGAAUUCAACAAUGAAACCGAUGCUGAAAGUGCAUUCAAAGAGUUCGUCAUCUCCAGAACUCCAGAUUUUUAUGUUACCGGAGUAAACAAACUUGUAACUCAUUGGCGAAAAUAUGUUGAUGGCAAUGGUAUUUACUUUGAUGAAUAAAAUUUCAGCAUUGUGAAAUAUAUUGUGAUGAAUUUCAUGUUUCAAAACGUUUUUACUCAGCAUGAUUGAUUGAUUGAUUGAUGUAUUUCAAGAUUUCUUGCCAAUAGAGAAAGAGUCGAUUUCUAACGUAGAUCCAAGGCGACUUCAUUGCAAUUUCAACAUCAACAAGGUAUUUUUGUAUGUAUGUAUGUAUGUAUGUAUGUAUGUAUGUAUGUAUGUAUGUAUGUAUGUAUGUAUGUAUGUAUGUAUGUAUGUAUGUAUGUAUGUAUGUAUGUAUGUAUGUAUGUAUGUAUGUAUGUAUGUAUGUAUGUAUGUAUGUAUGUAUGUAUGUAUGUAUGUAUGUAUGUAUGUAUGUAUGUAUGUAUGUAUGUAUGUAUGUAUGUAUGUAUGUAUGUAUGUAUGUAUGUAUGUAUGUAUGUAUGUAUGUAUGUAUGUAUGUAUGUAUGUAUGUAUGUAUGUAUGUAUGUAUGUAUGUAUGUAUGUAUGUAUGUAUGUAUGUAUGUAUGUAUGUAUGUAUGUAUGUAUGUAUGUAUGUAUGUAUGUAUGUAUGUAUGUAUGUAUGUAUGUAUGUAUGUAUGUAUGUAUGUAUGUAUGUAUGUAUGUAUGUAUGUAUGUAUGUAUGUAUGUAUGUAUGUAUGUAUGUAUGUAUGUAUGUAUGUAUGUAUGUAUGUAUGUAUGUAUGAAUGAAUGAAUGUAUGUAUGUAUAUGUGCAGAUUUCUAUGUUUUGCUUUAUGUAUGUAUUCUCAUGCAUAUACUUGCAUAUCUAGACAUGCUCAUAUAUAUUCAAAUGAUAAACUUCUGGUAAGUUUUACAGAUUUUUACAGUUCCAGGGAUGGAUUGGAUCUGUAGUCUUCAAAUUAGCUUUCUCCUUUCUGGUUUUGAGAAGCCUAAUUUCUCAAGAGUGAUAUUUAGGCAGUGUGUUACAUAUCCCAGGGCCUCAAUAAUUAUGUAUGUAUUGCUGGUGGUGGUGGUGGUGUUGGGGAGGUCAGUGUUGGUAUGGUUGUGUGGUUAAGAAGCUUGUUUCUCUACCGUGUGAUUCAUUUGUCACACAGCAUAGCACCUUGAGCAAGUAUUUUCUACCAUAGCCCUGGCAGACUAAAGCCUUGUGGGCAGAUCUAGUAGAUGGGAAUUGAAAGAAGCUUGUCAUACGUGUAAUAAUUGUAUGUGUGUGUGCACAUAUGCAUUUGUGCGUACUUUCAUGAUAUCAUUUGAAGUUCAAAGGCAUUCAAAUAAAGACUAUGCUGCCUUUUAUCUUUCACACAGUGUAUCUAAGGUUACAAAAACAAUGUGUCCUUUUUGAGUGUUUGAUUUGUUUUGCAGGUUGAGUUAGCACAAGGGACACACCCUCCUUGAUUCAUAUAAAUGUAAUUCUGUGUUAUAUUGUAGUUGCUGUAGUUUAACAACCUUGAAAAGACUUCUUUGUUGAUAUGUGAAUGGAAAUUUAAAUGUCAUGUAUUGCAGUUUAUUGAAAAGAUGAACGAAAUAUUGGGUUAUCUGGAAAGUUUGCGUCAAUUUUUAAAGGAAAGAAAAAGGUCAAUAAAUACUUGCCAUUACAUUUUUAAUCAACCAAAUAGGAACCAUUUUGUUGCACAAUGCAUCUCCAUCUUUCCUUUAACUCGAAAAUACCCUCUUCCCAGAACUGAGGUGGUUUCAUGGCAAAGAAUUCAUCAAGGUAUCUUUUUACGUCAUCCAAGGAAUUUAAAUUUUUACCAUUAAGACUAUUCUGCAGAGACCUGAAUAAGUGGAAAUCUGAAGGAGCAAUAUCUGAAUAUGGAGGGUGGGGUAACACAUCCCAGUCAAGCUGCAGCAAUUAUUGUCUGGUUCCCAAAGCAUCAAGUGCCAAAAAUGAACUUUCUUAUCUUCCAUUUUAAAAAGUUACAGAAAUAACACAGGUUAUAGGAACAUAAACCUUCUGCCACAAAAAGAUAGCUUAAACUGUGCUCUAAAUGGAAGUGUAGUCAAAUCCUAUUUUAUGGACUCAACCAUGUUCUAAAAUAAGUCAAAAGGUAAGCUACUAUAAAUCGGCACAAACUUUCUGGUCAUCCCAAUAUUUUGAAGAAAUGUGUAAUAUAUCACUAGCAAGCUCACUUGCUAUACUGUGCUCUAGAAGCAUUUAUAGCAUUGAUUUGCAUGAAUGCAACUAAUGACAACUAAUCAACAAACUCUAUUAAUCCUCUCAAAUAUAUAAUAUGAAACUGUUUAACUUCAAUCCAUUGUUAUUUUGAACACAUGCAAGCUUAACCCUUUAGUGUUCAGAUUACUUUGUCAAAUGUAAUACUUAUUUACUCACAUCAUUUUGAAUUCAUCAUGUAGUAUCCCAUAGCUUUGAGAUUUCAAAGACAUGACAGUCUAUAUUUAGAAUGACCUUAUAGGGUAAUUGUGAGAGGCCAAUCCAGCCAAUUUGAAUAUAAAUUAGGUAGAAAUUAUUUGGGCAUGAUAUGGCCAGUUUAAAUGCUAAAGAGUUAAAUCAUAAACUGUAUAACUACAAAACUGACCCCCACUCCCAAAAACUACUUGCCUUGUGCCAAACUUUGGAUACAGUUUAUUGUGAUAUUAUUAUCAGGUCUGUAAGGGUGGUUAAAUGGUAAUUAAUUUCAUUAAUUAAUGACUAGGUUCAAAUCCUGCCAGUCAGCUUCAGUGUUCCAUUUUAUCACAUCAUUAGUCUGCAGAAAAUAUUUACUGUAUUUAUUUCAAUAGGCUACAGCUACCCCAAUACAUCAUGUAUAAGUAUGAGGUUGGGUGAAUGGGUACAAGUUAUAUUAUACAAUAGAAAUUUAUACAAGGUCAAGGGGUCACCAGUUGACUAGGGUACACCAAAUCCCAAGAAACAUAGUUAGCAAAGAUGAUAACAGGACAUUUUGCUUAGUAUAUAAGAUAGCUGUUGUGUUGCUGUUAUUAAUGCUUUUUUUAGCCCUGCACAAACUUAUGGUGAAAUGCAUUUGAGCAUUGACAUCCCAUCUUUUUAUUUUCUAGACAUAAUAUACAUAGAUAGACUGCUUUGCCAUAAAAUUGUUAUGUCUUGGGCAACUGAUUUAAUUUGUGCUAAAGUCUUAUAGAACAGAGACUACUGUGUAUAACAUAGGAGCAAAGUUGUUAAUGUUGCAUAUGAAAACAUUAUGACAGUAGUUGGUAGUGUUUUGCAAUAUCCUUCUUCCAAUAGCUACAAAAGAAAUUUUCUUUUCACUAAGACAUAGUAAAGAACUCUUGAUCAGUCAACUUGCUGGUGCCAGUGUUAAUGCAUGUAUAAUCACAUUAAUAUUAAAACAUAUAUAAUGGCAGUGAGCAGGCAGAAUCAUUAGCAUACCGGACAAAAUGUUAACUGGUAUUCUGUCCGUCUACAUUCUGAGUUCAAAUUCUGCCAUGGUUGACUUUGCCUUUCAUCUUUCCAGGGUCGAUAAAAUAAGUACCAGUUGGAUACUGGGAUUGAUAUAAUUGACUAUCCCCCUCCCCCCAAAUUGCUGGCCUUUUACCAAAAUUUAGAACCAAUAUUGAUGAUAUAUAUAUGUAAAGGUCCAAGUAUGGUUAUAUGGUAAGUAGCUUACUUCCCAACCAUGUGGUUUUGGAUUCAGUCCCACUAUGUGGUACUCUGCACAAUUGUCUUCUACUACAGCCACUAGCAAAGCUGGGGAUGGGGGGGGGGUCCACACUGGGUGGCACUUUUGGGUCACCUGUAGGCAAUAUGUGAUUUUUGUGGGGUCCAGGAUUGGUAAACAGAAGGGCCACCCUGGGUGGGACACACUCUAGCUAUGCUAGUGACUACUGCCCCAGGCCAACCAAAGCCUUGUGAGUGGAUUUGGUAAGUGGAAACUUGAAGAAGCCCAUUAUGUACGUAUAUCUGUGUGUAUGCGUGUUACUGCCACCUUGCUAUAACUUCAUGCAAUAUUUGUAAAAGAAAUGUUAUAGUCAUGCAAGCAGCAUCAGUUGGUUUCAAUCUUCUGUGAAAACAUGCCUGGUCAUGGGGAAACAGGGGAGAGUUGGCAACAGGAAGGGCAUCUGACUGUAGUAAAUCUACACCUUUACAACCUCUGUUCAACUCAUGCAAGCGUGAGAAAGAGGAUGCUAAACAAUGAUGUUGAUGAUGAUGAUGAUAAUGAUGAUGGAUGUUACUAAUUGACAUAAUUGAUGAUUAAUUAUGCAGUACUAAACAGCAUUUAUUUGACUGCUGAAAUUUAAUGAAGGUAUAGCUACACUGUUAACUUCACUGCAAAAGGUAAACAAACUGGCAGAAAACUUUGGAAUUGUCCUGAUGGAUUUUUAUCUCUUUUUGGAGAUUCAUGACAGAUCAAAUAGCCUCAUUUUCUGUUCAUGGCUAUUUAUAUCAAAUACAAAUGCAAAAACAAGACUCAGAUGAAGUAAUAGAGAUCAAAUCUGAAUUUAAAGAAAAGUAUCAGCCUAAACUAAACAUAAAAUAUACUUCCAUACUUCUAUAUUACUGCAUAAAUAUGUUCUACACUAGAAUACUGCUUACACAUCCUAGGAUGAAGCACACAUCUUGGGAUGUAGCAUGCCACCUGGUCAAAGGUCAUGCAACUAGUUGACAAGUCUUUACUUGACUAUAUUCUUCAACCACUUGAAACCAUUUAACAUUUAAACUGACUUCUCUCUAUUUCUUAUCACUGCUUCAAUAGUCUCGACUGCUCUGAAUUUACUGAUGAUAAACCAACAUAAUUCAGCCUCAACAGGGGAGUUCCCCUGUGGUCAUUUGAUCUGCUUGUUACAAAUAGCAAUAUGAUGGCAUAAAUGAUGCCAAUGCCUUCUAGACAUUCCAAUUUCAGCAGCACAUAUUCAGGAAAUAUUUUUAAUGCAUUAAAUCUUAUGGGAGGGCCCAACUUUGCAUAUAGGACCUGGAGUGAUAUUUUUGAAGCAUUGUUUUUGCAAACAAGUGCAUCUUUUAAAUGCCAUCAAAUACAGUAACUGGCAAAUCUCUUUCUGAUCACACCCCAGCAACUUAAAAAGUAGGACACAUUGUCCUAGAUACAUUACAACUAUGUUUAUAGCUAGAGAGAAAAAAUGGCAUGCUUAUAGUUAGAAUAUCUUUGAUAAGGUCUAUUCAGUCUUGGCUAAUCUAAAGCUGAACAGCUACAACAGUUCCACUUCUUGAAUACUCCUUUCUCAUUCUCUUUUCUCUCUCUCUCUCUCAUCUCAGCUAUCAUGUUGCACCUUCUCCAAUCGUUGUAUGGAACAAUUUUUUCUUCAGAACUUUCUACCAAUCUUCUCUGAUCAUGUUUACCAUUUAGCUACUAAUCUACAAAAAUUCAAAUUUAAUAUUCUGCUCAUUUACUUUAAGCACUUGUUCCCCUAUAGUGUACAGGUGUAGGAGUGGCUGUGUGGUAAGUAGCUUGCUUACGAACCACAUAGUUCCGGGUUUAGUCCCACUGUGUGGCACCUUGGGCAAGUGUCUUCUACUAUAGCCUUGGGCUGACCAAAGCCUUGUGAAUGGAUUUGGUAGACGGAAACUGAAAGAAGCCCAUCGUAUAUAUGUAUAUAUAUAUAUAUAUAUAUAUAUAUGUAUGUAUGUAUGUGUGUGUAUAUGUUUGUGUGUCUGUGUUUGUCCCCUCAACAUCGCGUGACAACUGAUGCUGGUGUGUUUAUGUCCCCGUAACUUAGUGGUUCGGCAAAAGAGACCAAUAGAAUAAGUACUGGGCUUACAAAGAAUAAAUCCUGGGGUUGAUUUGCUCAACUAAAGGUGGUGCUCCAGCAUGGCUACAGUCAAAUGACUGAAACAAGUAAAAGAGUAAAGAGUAUUGUUCUGAAAGAUCAUAAUCACGACUCUUUCUCCAUAACCUAAAUGACUACAAAAAAAAAUAUAUAUAUAAUAUCUAAAAAGGUGUCUUUUACUAAAGUAAACUGGCCAAUAAGAGCAUUUGUUACAGUCUUGAAUGAUUAUUUCUUAUCAGGUUAUUCAUUAUACAGUUGAAGGAACUUUCACUGGCCCUUACUAUAUCAUCUUGAAGCUGAUCCAGAUCCCUGUCAUCUUUCAAAUGUUUUUCUUUUUCUUCAUAUUAAUAGUUUUGUUGUCAUUGAUGAAGAAUUCACAUGGUCACUCAGCCUGCUAAAAGUAGUAGCCUAAUCUUCUUGACACACAUUCUCUGCCACCUUAAAAAAGAGGAAGUACACAUUAUAUAAAUUUAGAGACCAUAUAUCUGUGGGCUUGACUGGAAUACUUUUGAUCUUAAAACCUGCUCAGUCAGAGCUGACAGGAAGUUAAACAACAAAAAGCAACUUCUAUACAGUUGAUUUCUCUCUAUAUUUUAUUUCACCUUCUCAUGCAUUUCAUUCUCACAAUCUGCUGAUAUUGUGGACAUUCUCCAUGAGCAGAGAGACUCAAAAUACAUCCUACAGGAAUGACAUAUCAAACUACUUUCAUUCAAUAACAACAACAACAACAAUAAUAAUAAUAGUUCACAAAAACAUAUUCAAUUAGGUAAUGAAUGACAGAAUGACAGUGAACGUAGUGACACUACACUUGAAAUCAGCAAUAUUUUUACCAUGUCUGACAUAAGAAUUUCCUAAGCUGUUAGUCUAUAGAUUUCAUCUGUCCAUCUUCACUUAGCAAGCUUCUUAUCAGAUGGUAACAUUGCUGCAUGCACUGAGUAAGUCCUCUAUGACCCACGUAUUAUUGACUCAGAUGUUUACCAGGGUUAGGCUAUGUCACCUGACAUUUGUUCCCAUAUAUCAACAUGCUUGUUGUCAGUUCUAAAAUUGCUCACUCAUUCAUAGAUGAUACUACUCCUCACCACUCCUCCUUGACAUCUGCACAUACAUGUCAUUGAUAUGUAACCUAAGCUCAUUACACCAAGCCUGCAGGUUCUUCACAAACCUUGAAAAUAUCAUGUGGUAUAUGGUAAUGAUCCUUUGCAUUCUGAUUUCAGAGCCUAACUGGGUCAACUUUACCUUUCAUAAUUCCAAGGUGAAUAAAAUAAUUGCUGGUCAAGUACUGAGGUGUACGUAAUUGACUAUGUCCCAGGUGAUAGUACCCAGUAAAAGAGUGACUAGAGAAUACAAAAUUGUACCAUCUCCAAUAAUGAACAAUGUACAGCUGUAACCUUAACUCUUCACUUUACAAAAGUUCUUCAUCAUCGUAGGUCAUUUGAACAAUGAAUUUGAAAUUGGCAUCUACAGCCAUAGAUAUAUUUCCUCAGAUACAUUCUUUUCUGUUAAGCAGUUCUUCUAAGUAUUAAGUACAGAUGUGGCCAUGUGGUUACGAAGUUUGCUUCUCAAUUACAUGGUUUUGGGUUCAGCCCCACUGCAUGGUACCUUUGGCAAGUGACUUCUAUAGCCCUAGAUUGACUGAAGCCUUAUGUGAGGAUCCAGUUGAUGGAAACUGAAAGGAGCCAAAGAAGUCUGUUGUACAUGUGUGUGUGUGUGUGUCCUUGUCUUACCAUAGUGUGAUAGUUGUAAAUGAGUGUCACUGUCAUACAAGCAGUAUCAUUUGUUUCCAGUAUUCUUCAAAAACAUGUCUGGCUACAAGGAAAUAUUACCUUCCUUGUAAACAGAUGAGAAUUGGCAAUGGGAAUGGCAUCUGGUCAUAGAAAAUCUGCCUCAAUAAAUCCCAUGCAAGCAAGGAAAGGUGGAUGAAUGAUGAUGAUGAUGAUGAUGAUGAUGAUGAUGGUUUCUGUUAUAGCCAGCUCAUUUUAAGAGUUAGCAAACAUGAUAAUACAGAGAUAGAAUCUCCAAAGCAUUCAUCUAAAAAAAAAAGAAAAGAUGAUACAUUUGAUAAUGUCCUAAAUAAACUGUAAAUUUACAAAAGAUAAGAUGACCUCAUCUGGAACACUAUUUAUCAUAGGUCUGCUAAGCGAUACCAACAAUUAUAUAUGUCUAGAAAUACACCUCGUGUUCUCGUGCAAAGUACUUCAUUUCAUGUUGCUCUGGGAUCAUUUUGUCAUCUGACAUGUGGCACCCGGUGAACCUGGUAGGUAAUAUCGAUUUUAUGGAGAGAGUCAGCUUAUGUGUACACAAACAUUUGAUCUCUAUAAGCAAAUCCUCUGUUGGUUGUUCGGCAAUUUCUUGCUGAACUUACAUAUGUUGUCUAACGAUGAGAGUCAAUGAAUGAAUGAAUGAAUGAUUGAUUGAUACGCACACACACACACACACACAUACACAUACACACAUACAUACAUACAUACAUGUAAAAAGUGUCAUAGAAUUUUUUUUAAAUUCUAGAAAUUCAUUUUAUUGAUCAAAUAUUUUUUGUCUAAAUGUCAAGAGAUACUCUGAAAAAUAGAGGCAGCAUAUAAAAUAUAAGGAACAAAUUAAUUUGUUAAGAACUAACUUAAUUGAGAGAAAUGACACAAUGACAAUGGGAUGUGAAGACUGAAAUCUUACCAUAACAGGCUUAGUUUUCCUUGCAGCACCAACAAAAGUGGAGAGAAGUAUCUCAACACGGUCAUUUGACUUAUAGCAGCCAAAUCUCCCAUAAGUUACAAUCUGCUGUCUUGAAAGAAAGAAGACAGACUAGAUAAUGUAGUCUUGGAUAUACAAAAUCUGAGAGAAGGACAUCGUAACCAGGGCUGGAAAAUCUUUGAUUACUAAACUCCUCAGUUACAGCUGAACAGGGCUAAACAAUAGCAAUUUCAUGUUGCCAUAUACCCAGAAAUCACAUAUUUCAGCAUCAAUGAAGAGAGUAAUAAACAUACUGUGGUUUGUUUUCACUGAUUUCACUGAUGCUGAAAUGAAAAGAUCAAUUCACAUUCCACAUCUUGGUAUUUUUUUUUCUGAACCAAACUUCACCUGAAGAAAACAUUUUUUUUUUCAUGAUGUAAUUGAAUUUAUUCAUCAAUAAAAAAUGCAUCUGCAACAGCUGUAGUGAACCUUUAACACAUUUGUGUUCUUAUAUAUAUAUAUAUAUAAUUAUUGAUAGUAGGGAAUAUAAAAUUCCAAAGCAACAGGGAAAAUCAGACUCAAUUUAGUAAUACUAAAUCAGAUUUCAUGAUAUAUUAAAUAUAUAUAGAAUUAAGAUAGAACCUCCAUUAAGUAAUUCAUUAAUAAUGAAAGAUAUUAUCUAUUAUAAAAUAUAAAUUUAAAUAUAUUACUAUUAACAUUGUACUAAAAAUUUCUAUACUGAUUAAUACACUUUAAAAAGCAUACACAUUAAAACGACAUUAUCAAUAUUGUGCUAAAAAUUUCUAUACUAAAUAAUACACAUUAAAAAAAUACACAUUAAAUUAUUAUAAUGUAUACAAUUUAUAAAUGUAUAGUGUAAUUAUAACAUCUUUAUCUAUGUUGUAAAUUUAUUUUAUGUUAUUGAGACUUGAAGAGUGGCUAUGUAUCGUUGGAUUGAAUAAUGUUAAUUUUUGAGAUUAUUGAUUUUGGUAUCAUAGAUUUGUAUACAUAGUCAUGAAACGCAUGUCAUCGUUUUAAUGUGUAAUAUUUAGUAUAGAAAUUUUUAGUACAAUAUUGAUAAUAAUGUCGUUUUAAUGUGUAUUAAUCAGUAUAGAAAUUUUUAGUACAAUGUUAAUAGUAAUAUAUUUAAAUUUAUAUUUUAUAAUAGAUGAUAUCUUUCAUUAUUAAUGAAUUACUUAAUGGAAGUGCUGUCUCUUAAUUCUCUCUCUCUCUCUCUCUAUAUAUAUAUAUAUAUACACAUACUAAAGCAGGGCUGGUUUCAGAAUCUUUGAAAGAUUCAAGUAGUAACAGUACUAAACAGUAAUGUUUGUUGCCACUUUGCAUGGAACAGCUAUGCAAAAGUGGCAACAAACAUUAUUAUAUAUAUAUAAAUACUCUUUAACUAGUUUCAGCUCGAAAUCUGUGGUCAUUCUGGGGCAGUUAAACUCCUCAAUGGCAGAUGUCUUUGAUGAUGAUAUAGUCUUAGAUAUACAAUGUCUGAAAAUAAGACAAGGUGGCCGUCAAGUUUUCAGCAUCAUUGAUCAUGUUUACUUUUGUAGGACUGGUCUGUAGUUAAAUAAUGCUCUUGUAAAAUCACUAUGUUUUCUACCUGACUGCAACAUAUAUGUAUAUAUGUAUGUAAAAAUGUAUCUAUGUAUGUUUGUAUGUAUGCAUGCAUGUCUGUGUCCAUAUAUAUAUAUAUUAUUUGUUUCAGCCAUUUGACUGUAGCCAUGCUGGAGCACCAUCUUUAGUUGAACAAAUUGACUCUAGAACUUAACCUAUCGGUCUCUUUUGCCAAACUCCUAAGGUAUGGGGAUGUAAACACACCAACAUCAGUUGUCAUGUGAUGGUAGGGGAACAAACACAGACACACAAACACAUGCACACACACACACAUACAACAGGCUUCUUUCAGUUUCCAUUUUUUAAAUCCACUCACAUGGCUUUGGUCAGCCUGAGGCUAUAGUAGAAGAUACUUGCCCAAGGUGCCACACAUUGGGACUGAACCCAUAAUCAUGUAGUUGGGAAGCAAGCUUCUAACCACACAGCCAGACCUGCACCUGCUACAGAAAAAGACUACAUGGAAAAAAAACAAAAAAACACAACGUGAGGAUGUAGCACAUGCAAAGUAUUAAUAAGAUGCUCACAGAAGGAAAAGAGUGGUUGCUUUAUGUUUCGAGCACAGCUCUUCUUUGGAAACAGGAAACAGGAAAGUCUAAAGGAAAAGGAAGAAGGAGGAAAAAAUCGCCAACACACACACACACAUGUAUUUUUUAAGCCUGUUAUUAGUGUUGAUGUUGUCAUUGCUAUUGUUGUAUGAUUAUGAAUAAGAAGCAGUUAUUCAUAAUUUUGCAUUAAAAUAUCUUUUUGGAAGUUAAAUAUUUAAAUAGAAAUGGAAUAUUAUAUAUAUUGCAUAGAUGCAUCUAUCACCCCUUUGCUCCCAACAUCCAUAUAAAUUUUCCUCUGCAGUCUUGGGCUGGUAUCACCCUUUUUGCAAAGCGCUUGAUGGUCCUACCACUAGCAAAACCAACAAGGUAGCUGGUUGGUUUUGCUAGUGGUAGGAAAUGUUUGUGCUAGGAAAGAAAAUAGUGGUGUAUUUCUGGACAUAUAUAAUUGUUGGUAUUGCUUAGCAGACCUAUGAUAAAUAGUAUACCAGUUGUGGUCAUCUUAUCUUUUGUAAAUUUACAGUUUGUUUAUGACAUUAUCAAAUGUAUCAUCUUUUUUUUAGAUGACCUGAGGAAGACUUGGCUGUUAUUUCUAGCAGAUUGAGUGAUGAGAGUCUGCUUUGUUGGUAGAUGUGAUUGCUACUGAUUUAGGUUGAGAUUGGUCAAUCUUGAUUGAAAAGACGAUGAUCAAGGGCAUUCCAGCUGAGACCAUCCCAUUUUUUCAGAGGUAUGUAUCUCUACAUGUGUUCUUGCCUUACUGAAGACACGGGGGAAGUCUGACUGUUAUUUUUAGCCAGGUGAGCGUCCACAUAGAGGCUCCCUCUUUGGUUCGUAACAGAUACUGUUGGUGUCAUUGCUUAGCCUCUGGUCAGACCUGAUUGAGGAGACUGACAAUCAAAGGCAUUCCUACUGUGACCAUCUCAUUCUUUUUCCUUAGGUCAAGGAACCUAGGAUCAUAUUAGCCAAUGUGCCCUUAUCUAAGAUGGUGAGAUUUGAUUAGAUACAUAUUUAGGUGCUAUUUCUAGCAGGUCGGAUGACCAUAUAAAAGCUCCUUUCUUGGUUUGACAAAUAUCAUUGGAAAUGACGGGGUGAGAUGAUUGGUAAACAUAGGGAGAUAACUCUGAUGUUUUUGAAAAAUCUUUAAAUUGAAUGGAGGGAAUGGUUUGCUGACUUGUGAAAGGCAAUCGCAAAGCAUAAUGAAUCUUUGAAUAGGUGCAGGAGUGGAAGUGUGGUGAAAAGUUUCCCUGCCAGGCAAGUGUGUUGUACUAUAGCCAUGGGCUAACCAGAGGCUUGGAAGUGGAUUUCAUAGAUGGAAAUUGUAAAAAGCCCAUAAUAUAUGUGUGUGUGUGUUGUAUUUAUCCACCACCACUAGUUGACAAUUGGCGUUGGUUUGCUUACGUUUUCGGAACUUAGCGGUUCGGCAAGAGUUCGAUAUUAAAAGUACUAGACUUUAAAAUAAAUAAGUACUGGGGUCGAUUUAUUUUACCAAGCUCUUUAACGUGGUACCACAGCAUGGCUGCACUCCAAUAACUAAGACAAGUAAAAGAUAAAGUAUUUAUAUAUGCUAUAUACUAACUUCAUCGUUCAUGUGGGAUGCAAUUUUUUUUUUGAAAACUUAUAAUAAUAUAAUAAUAAUGAAAUUAUUGAAUACAGUGCUCAAGUGCACCACAACUUGUCAAAAGUGCAUAUAAAAAAAUAUGCAGUAAUGUACAAAUGUUUGGGAAGUGAACACUGUAUGAGUCAGAUACAUGCUUGCGUGUGUAUAGAGGGGAGAAAAUCAGGUGUAGUGUUGGCAGAUCUCUGGAAGCAUGGAAGUUUUGAAGGAUGCAGUGCUCCGACAACUAACAACUGAUACCGGCAGUUUAUUCCAUGCUUCAGCAACUCUUAGCGUGAAAAACUGUUUCCGAAAGUCAUGGGAGCUGUGCUGUUUUCUGACUUUGUAAACAUGUCCACGGGUGUUAGACAGGUGGAUUUUGAAAAGGUGCUCAGAGUUAUUGUUUGUAAGAUCGUUAAUAAUUUUAUGGGUGUCUGCCAAGUCAGCUGCCAGACGUCCGAGUUUCAAUGUAUCCAUGCCCAGGGAAGUAAGGCGUUCAGAAUAUGAGCGACAUUGGACAAAAAGAAUUUGAGAAACACUAAUUUAAACUUAUCCCUUGUAGUUAACUUACAACUAUUAAUAAAAUAGGUAUCAUUAAGGGCGAUUUAGCCAAGUUUGUGUGGCCUCGCAAAUAACAAAAAAAAAAAAACCUUGUGGUCUUGCACCAAAAUUUACAAAAUAAUGAUUUGGUGAUGCAAACAGGAAAAUAGAACUAAAGACAUGAAUACGUGUAUUUUCUGGCACAAGAUGAAGCACCAACUGGUGUUGAAGAGUAUAUAAAUUGGAAUUAGUGAGUUUUAUAUAUAAAAAAGAAAAAAAUAUGGUUUGACCUGAAAAAGAGGCUGUACCCUAUGACUUUCACCGCUCCAUCCCCAGAGGUAGACUAUCUAGGACUGUAUUAGUUAAAGUCUAAUUCCUUUUUACGAGAGAACUGGAUAUUAAUUAUUUUUCCAAAUAGGUCAUGAAACUAUCCAGUUCUCUCUCGUUACUUGCUAGUAAAUUGUGGUUUAACCACUGAUCACUUUUGAUCGAAUUGGUUCAUUGUCCUGUUGUAUUUUUUUUCCUUUUAAGAACAGUGUACUACCAUUAUCUAAUGUAUCCCUUUUGUUUAAGGCUGUUGGUGAUGAAACUUAUCUAUUUACAGGGCACCUACAAGAAUUAAGGCAAGAAAUUUUUA
rnacentral:lncRNA from 1 species